AGAGUUUGAUCAUGGCUCAGGACGAACGCUGGCGGCGUGCCUAAUACAUGCAAGUCGAGCGGAUCGAUUACCUCUUUCGGGAGGGAAUCGGUUAGCGGCGGACGGGUGAGUAACACGUGGGCAACCUGCCCGUAAGUUCGGGAUAACUGUCGGAAACGGCAGCUAAUACCGAAUAAUUGGUUUUCUCGCAUGAGGAGAUC
rnacentral:rRNA from 1 species